GUGGGGAAUUUUGGACAAUGGGCGCAAGCCUGAUCCAGCAAUGCCGCGUGCAGGAAGAAGGCCUUCGGGUUGUAAACUGCUUUUGUACGGAACGAAAAGCCUGGGGCUAAUAUCCCCGGGUCAUGACGGUACCGUAAGAAUAAGCACCGGCUAACUACGUGCCAGCAGCCGCGGUAAUACGUAGGGUACAAGCGUUAAUCGGAAUUACUGGGCGUAAAGCGUGCGCAGGCGGUUUUGUAAGACAGUGGUGAAAUCCCCGGGCUCAACGUGGGAACUGCAUUUGUGACUGCAGCGCUGGAGUGCGGCAGAGGGGGAUGGAAUUCCGCGUGUAGCAGUGAAAUGCGUAGAUAUGCGGAGGAACACCGAUGGCGAAGGCAAUCCCCUGGGCCUGCACUGACGCUCAUGCACGAAAGCGUGGGGAGCAAACAGGAUUAGAAACCCGGGUAGUCC
rnacentral:rRNA from 1 species